AAGCCAUGCGAGUCGAGAGGGUUCGGCCCUCGGCGUACUGCUCAGUAACACGUGGAUAACCUGCCCUAGGGAAGGGGAUAACCCCGGGAAACUGGGGAUAAUACCCUAUAGAUUACAGAUGCUGGAAUGCCCUGUAAUCCAAAGUUCCGACGCCCUAGGAUGGAUCUGCGGCCGAUUAGGUUGUUGUUGGGGUAAUGGCCCAACAAGCCCGUAAUCGGUACGGGUUGUGGGAGCAAGAGCCCGGAGUUGGAUUCUGAGACACGAAUCCAGGCCCUACGGGGCGCAGCAGGCGCGAAAACUUUACAAUGCGGGCAACCGUGAUAAGGGAACCUCGAGUGCCUGUAAAUGCAGGCUGUUCAGGUGCCUAAAACACACCUGAAGAAAGGGCCGGGCAAGACCGGUGCCAGCCGCCGCGGUAAUACCGGCGGCUCGAGUGGUGGCCGCUUUUAUUGGGCUUAAAGCGUUCGUAGCUGGGUUGUUAAGUCUCUUGGGAAAUCUGGCGGCUUAACCGUCAGGCGUCUAAGGGAUACUGGCAAUCUUGGAACCGGGAGAGGUGAGGGGUACUUCGGGGGUAGGAGUGAAAUCCUGUAAUCCUCGAGGGACCACCUGUGGCGAAGGCGCCUCACCAGAACGGCUUCGACAGUGAGGGACGAAAGCUGGGGGAGCAAACCGGAUUAGAUACCCGGGUAGUCCCAGCCGUAAACUAUGCGCGUUAGGUGUAUCGGUGACCACGAGUUACCGAGGUGCCGAAGGGAAACCGUGAAACGUGCCGCCUGGGAAGUACGGUCGCAAGGCUGAAACUUAAAGGAAUUGGCGGGGGAGCACCACAACAGGU
rnacentral:rRNA from 1 species